ensembl:lncRNA
GAAGCGUCGCUCCACGUCCGUCACUCCUCAGCGCAUAAAGCUCUUAUUCCACUCUCCUGCUCUGUCUGGGCUGAUGAAACAUCCUGCGCUUGACAUCGCUGACAAAUGGCAGGCGAAUCAAGCUGACACGACCGAGACAAUACAGCAAGCUCUCUAACGACCGGGACUGCGAUUCACUUCAAUGAGUCGGUUCGUUCGAACGGUUCAUUUUAACGAUUCGAUUCUUCGAGUCAAAAUUUCAAAUUGAUCCCAGAAACCAAUAGUAGAGUUUAGCUAUUUUUUUUUUUCUGUAGUGAGGAACAUUUUAGUCAAAUUAAGCUAUUUAUUUUAUUCAUGCUUUAAUUUUUGCAUUUUUAUUUUAUUUUUUCUUUCUUUCCAUAUUUAGCAUACUCAUUUGAUUUCAAAAACAAAACAAAAAAAACAUUAGGUUUGGCUUCAGCACCCACAGUAGUACAGCAGGCAUCGGAAAUUCGAGAAUAAACACUUUGCGAAUCAGUUCAAAUGAAUCAAGGAACCGACUCAAAAGAACGAUUCGUUUGCGACUCGGACUCCGCUACGCUGUGAACCGAGCGUGAAUUAUGCAUUCGGACUAACAAGGCAAAGUGAUGCUCAGAGAGGAGGACAGAGGACUCGGGGAAGAUGCAUUAAAAGGCGAUGAAGUUCUGUGAAGCGGUUUCUCGUCGCAGCGUUGUCUACGCACGCAUGAUUCAUUUAGUGUAGUGUUUUAUUGCUACGUAGCACGGGGUGGAUUUUAUAGCAAAGGAUAGAAAAAAACGAUAGUCGAUAUCGGAUGGUCGGUGAAAGGAAGAGAGGAAGGGGGGUGUAUGAUUUUAAUGAUGAUUUAUAGGCUACAGCGGACCGUCGCUUAAUUCUGAAUCACAGCCUGAACUUCUGAGGAAAUAACAAACAAGCGGUUUAUUCGGUAAAGGAGAGAUGGAUGGAGAGGCAGGCAAAAGAAGGGCUCUCUGAUGAAAAGGGUAAAAGAAAACGUGCCACAAGACCAAAUGGACUUCUGAAUCAUCUUGUGUGAAGAACCAUUAUAUUGGUUGAAUUGUGCUAUAAAAGGCAAGUGGAGUGC